UUUUUGUUUAAUGGUAAAACUAAUUAGCUUGCAUGAAUAUACAGAUAUAUGCUGUCUCCAUAACCAUAAGGACAUUGCUUGGUUUCGUGCUUCUAGCUUUGAUAUGGGAAGAUAAGUUCCCACCUUUCAUGCUUCUGAUAAUCGCAAUACUGAAUGAUGGUACCAUCAUGACGAUUUCAAAGGACCGAGUAAAGCCAUCUCCAAUGCCUGACAGUUGGAAGUUGAAUGGGGGGAUUUGAGACCAACAUUGUCAUUGCCACCUUAUCUUGGUUUGGUUACCGUCUUAAAAGGGUGGAUAACUUUCUUUUCCGUGCCAUUUCUUAGUGUGAUUGCAAAUUUUGUAUAGAGAGAACAAUGUAUUGAGAUGUGGAUAUUUCAGCCUUGAUUGGCAGGAAUUUUAUGUUUUGUAUAGAGAGAACUAUGUACUUGACACAUUUUUUAUAUCAAAA